GACGAACGCUGGCGGCGUGCUUAACACAUGCAAGUCGAACGGAAAGGCCCCUUUGGGGGUACUCGAGUGGCGAACGGGUGAGUAACACGUGAGUAACCUGCCCUUGACUUCGGGAUAACUUCAGGAAACUGGGGCUAAUACCGGAUGGGAAUCCUUGCUGCAUGGUGGGGGUUGGAAAGCUUCGGCGGUUUUGGAUGGACUCGCGGCUUAUCAGCUUGUUGGUGGGGUAGUGGCUUACCAAGGCUUUGACGGGUAGCCGGCCUGAGAGGGCGACCGGCCACAUUGGGACUGAGAUACGGCCCAGACUCCUACGGGAGGCAGCAGUGGGGAAUAUUGCACAAUGGGCGGAAGCCUGAUGCAGCAACGCCGCGUGCGGGAUGACGGCCUUCGGGUUGUAAACCGCUUUCAGCAGGGGCGAAGCUUGUGGUGACGGUACCUGCAGAAGAAGCACCGGCUAACUACGUG
rnacentral:rRNA from 1 species